CCCGCUGAACUUAAGCAUAUCAAUAAGCGGAGGAAAAGAAACUAACAAGGAUUCCCCUAGUAACUGCGAGUGAAGCGGGAAAAGCUCGAAUUUUAAAUCUGGCGGCCCCGCCGCCCGAGUUGUAUUCUGGAGAAGCGUCUUCCGCGCCGGACCGUGUACAAGUGCCUUGGAACAGGACGUCACAGAGGGUGAGAAUCCCGUCUUUGACACGGACCCCCGGCGCUCUGCGAUGCGCUCUCGAAGAGUCGAGUUGUUUGGGAAUGCAGCUCAAAAUGGGUGGUAAAUUCCAUCUAAAGCUAAAUAUUGGCGAGAGACCGAUAGCGAACAAGUACCGUGAGGGAAAGAUGAAAAGCACUUUGGAAAGAGAGUAAAACAGUACGUGAAAUUGUUGAAAGGGAAACGCUUGAAGUCAGUCGCGUUGGCCGGAACUCAGCCUUGCUUCUGCUUGGCGCUCUUUCCGGUCCGACGGGCCAGCAUCAGUUUCGUGUGGCGGACACUGGCGGGAGGAAGGUGGCGGCCCUGGCCGCGUUAUAGCCUCCCGUCGCGCACGCCCCGUCGGGCUGUGGAAUCCGGCGCGAGCCUAGGAUGCUGGCGUAAUGGCUUUAAACGACCCGUCUUGAAACACGG
rnacentral:rRNA from 1 species